AGAUUGAACGCUGGCGGCAUGCCUUACACAUGCAAGUCGAACGGUAACGCGGGGCAACCUGGCGACGAGUGGCGAACGGGUGAGUAAUGCAUCGGAACGUGCCCAGUAGUGGGGGAUAGCUCGGCGAAAGCCGGAUUAAUACCGCAUACGACCUAAGGGUGAAAGCGGGGGACCUAAGGCCUCGCGCUAUUGGAGCGGCCGAUGUCAGAUUAGGUUGUUGGUGGGUAAAAGCCUACCAAGCCGACGAUCUGUAGCUGGUCUGAGAGGACGACCAGCCACACUGGGACUGAGACACGGCCCAGACUCCUA
rnacentral:rRNA from 1 species